CGCCAGACUCCUACGGGAGGCAGCAGUGAGGAAUAUUGGUCAAUGGGCGAGAGCCUGAACCAGCCAAGUCGCGUGAAGGAUGACGGCCCUACGGGUUGUAAACUUCUUUUGUCAGGGAGCAAUUGAGUCCACGUGUGGUCUUAGCGAGAGUACCUGAAGAAAAAGCAUCGGCUAACUCCGUGCCAGCAGCCGCGGUAAUACGGAGGAUGCGAGCGUUAUCCGGAUUUAUUGGGUUUAAAGGGUGCGUAGGCGGAAUAUCAAGUCAGCGGUAAAAAUUCGGGGCUCAACCCCGUCGUGCCGUUGAAACUGGCGGCCUCGAGUGGGCGAGAAGUACGCGGAAUGCGUGGUGUAGCGGUGAAAUGCAUAGAUAUCACGCAGAACUCCGAUUGCGAAGGCAGCGUACCGGCGCCCAACUGACGCUGAAGCACGAAGGCGUGGGUAUCGAACAGGAUUAGAUACCCUGGUA
rnacentral:rRNA from 1 species